AAAAAGACAAACCUUGAGUUUUUUUUUCCAACGUUUGACUAUCCGUCUUAUAUGAAAUUUUUUUAUAAUUAGUAUUUCCAUUAUUGUUAAAUAAUAAAACAUGAUUAAUACUUUAUAGGUGACUCAUCUUUUUAAUUUUUUUCAUAAUUUUUUCAAAUAAGACGGACGGUCAAACGUUGGACACGGAAACUCAGAGUUUGUCUUUUU
rfam:Oryza nivara chromosome 3, whole genome shotgun sequence.